rnacentral:rRNA from 1 species
UACAGAGGGUGCGAGCGUUAAUCGGAAUUACUGGGCGUAAAGCGUGCGUAGACGGUUAUUUAAGUCGGAUGUGAAAGCCCCGGGCUCAACCUGGGAAUUGCAUUCGAGACUGAAUAGCUAGGGUGCGGUAGAGGGAAGCGGAAUUUCCGGUGUAGCGGUGAAAUGCGUAGAUAUCGGAAGGAACAUCGGUGGCGAAAGCGGCUUCCUGGACCAGCACCGACGUUCAGGCACGAAAGCGUGGGGAGCAAACAGG